UAGCCAAGGACGGCGAGACGGAGGUGGGCAAGAUCACGAAGCAGUGGACUGGGCUGGUGCGCGAAGCCUUCACCGACGCCGAGAACUUCGGGGUGCAGUUCCCCAUGGACCUGGACGUGAAGGUCAAGGCCACGCUGCUCGGAGCAUGCUUCCUCAUCGAUUUUAUGUUCUUUGAGCAUAACAAGUGAGACAAAGGCUGACGAAGCAGGCACCGCACACAUGCACACACACACAUGCACACACACACACACGCACACACACACACACACAUGCACACACACACGCACACACGCACACACCCACACGCACGCACACGCACGCACACACACACGCGCACGUACACAUACGCGCGCACACACACGCACGCACCCACAUGCACACGCACGCACACACGCACACACCCACACGCACGCACGCACACACACACACACGCACACGCGCACACACACGCACACGUACGCACACACACACACCCACACACACCCACACACACACGCACCCACAUGCACGCACACACGCACACACCCACACACCCACACACACACACGCACACACGCACCCACACACACACGCACCCACACACACGCGCACCCACACGCACGCACACACACACGCACACACGCACGCACGCACACGCCGCAACAACCACCACGCCGCCGACACUAACCGUGAGCGGGAAUCAAGCUCGUGCCGUCGGGGUUUGUCGCGGUGCGCUAACCGCUGCGCCACCACUCCACCACUACGACUGCUUCUAGCCGGGCGUCGCCACCUUCCCCCGGGGGUUAACAGCGACCCGGCACACCACAUCCAGUAUACCUCGACGACAUUACCGCAGCCGCCACGUCCUGCGGUCCCGUGAUCUCGGCACACGGACCGCAUUCACCCUAAACCUGUGGUGCAGCAGCAGCUGGUGCAGCAGGUGCAGCAGCAGUAGAUGCAGCAUCCUGUGCAGCAGCAGCAGGUGCAGCAGCAACAGAUGCAGCAUCAUGCGCAGCAGUAGCUGGUGCAGCAGCAGCAGGUGCAGCAGCAGCAGGUGCAGCAGCAGCAGGUGCAGCAGGUGCAGCAGCAGCAGGUGCAGCAGCAGCAGGUGCAGCAGCAGCAGGUGCAGCAUGCGCAGCAGUAGCUGGUGCAGCAGCAGCAGGUGCAGCAGCAGCAGGUGCAGCAGGUGCAGCAUUCUGCGUAGCAGUAGCUGGGCUACGGAGCGCAGGGUUAAUCCGGAUCCGGAAUUCGGGUUGAACUCGGCAGCCGGGAACCCCUUCCCUGUGACCUCUACCCCGUGACCUGCCCUAUGUAACCUCUCCCCCUUGACCUCACCCCCAUGACCUGCCCUCCGUGACCUCUCCCCUGUGACCUCCCCCUCGUGACCUGCCCUCCGUGAUCCUUUCCUCCUUCGUGACCUCUCCUCCCCAUGACCUGCCCUCCGUGACCUCUCCCCUGUGACCUCUCCCCUGUGACCUCUACCAUGUGGCCUGCCCUCCGUGACCUCUACCCCGUGACCUGCCCUCUGUGACCUCUCCCCUGUGACCUCUACCCCGUGACCUGCCCUCCGUGACCUCUCCCCUGUGACCUCUACCCCGUGACCUGCCCUCUGUGACCUCUACCCCGUGACCUCUCCCCCGUGGCCUGCCCUCCGUGACCUCUACCCCGUGACCUCCCCCCUGUGACCUCUCCCCUGUGACCUCUCCCCCGUGACCUCCCCCCUUUGACCUCUCCCCCGUGACCUCCCCCCCGUGACCUCCCCCCCGUGACCUCUCCCCCGUGACCUCUCCCCCGUGACCUCACCUCCGUGACCUCCCCUUAUCCGUCGUAGUCCGUGGCCUUAACUCUCUGGGUACGUCACCAUUUCGUUCCUUCUUGCGGAGGAGGUGGAGGGGGGGGGGGGCAUCGGGGGCGGGAGGAUCAGAUUGCCGAUUCGGACUCAGCAUCUUCACUUGGACUGCGGCUUCGAAGCCUCCGUGCGGCAUCGGCUUGUGCCGGGCCGGGCCUCGUCACAGCUCACCGGAUAUCCACCACCGUCCCGUGGUGGAUAAUCUGAUGAGCCGGGAAGCCUUUCGUCACGGGUGUCCAGUACGGGGCGGCAGGAACUGAUCGUCGGCGAUUUGUAAUCACGCAAACGGGUUUUGAUUCCUUACCCGUACCCGUACCCCAGGCCGCACCAGGGUCGCAAACGGGUACCUGUACCCGUACCCGGCCGGGUACGGGUACCCGUUCCCUACCCGUACCCGUACCCUACCCGAAAUGAGUGACAAACGGUGACUGACCAGUGACUCACGGCCUACCCGUACCCGGCCGCACCAGGGUCACAAGCGGCUACCCGUACCCGGGUACGGGUAGCCGGGUAUCGGGUAGGGUACGGGUAUCGGGUACCCGGUUGCGACCUCUGGUUGUAACCCCUCCCCUCCUGCACACACGACGAGUUGACCCCCACCACCAGUCCCCCCCUCCCUCCCCCCCCCCCCCAAAAUUACACUAUGCACCGAAGCGACGGUCGCGAAUGCCUUCCGUACGACGAUGAUGAGUUUUUUUUUUUACUCUCUAAGAAAGUUUUUUUUAUUUUUAAAAUCCCUUCAGGAAAUUGUUUUUAGUAUUUCUCUUUUCCCGAAAAACCCUCACGUCGGCGUCAUUUCACCGAUAUCGCCGCCGUAGUUUUCGCGGAACCUUUUCACCGAGUUGCGCUAUUACCGCCCAUCUUAUAUCCCGUCGGUGGCGUUUCUCCGUCGUUGAACCCUGUGAACGCCAGCGGCUUUUCUGUCGGUGGGUUUGGCGGCCCAGGAUUUUUUUUGUCGCGCGGCCGAUCGAAACGAUUACCUUGAAGAGGCUCAAUCCUGGAGCACAUUGCGGGCGACCUCUCUCGACUCCCAACAACAUCGCCCGCCCGCCCGCCCGCUCACCCACCGCUGGCAGAUUAGAACCCACUGUGCGCUGUCUACCUCAAAGCUUGAAGAUGCCUCUUCUUGGCUCUUUCGGUAAAGUCACGUAGAAGGGAAGUAAUAAAAUAAUAAAAAUGAAACAUAAUAAAAUAAUUAUCACGACGUUUCGGCUACAACGCAAGCAGCCGUCCUCAGGUGAAAACCAGGUCUGUCGAGGCGACAGCUUCUGAAUGAAACAGCACCAUGCUUGGAGCGUAUAUUUAAGCUGGGUUGGAAGGGGGGGAAAGGGCGCCUUGACAAAAUAAUUUGUAUAUCAAGAAGAAUUCAGCAUAUUUAUGGGAAAUGCAGGUAUGUGAUUAGUACUACUCAUGCCCGUGCAUUAUGCAGGAUUAGCAGCAUCAAAGGGAGGGGAUAUGGGAAAUGCAGGUAUGUGAUUAGUACUACUUAUGCCCGUGCAUUAUGCAGGAUUAGCAGCAUCAAAGGGAGGGGAUAUGGGAAAUGCAGGUAUGUGAUUAGUACUACUUAUGCCCGUGCAUUAUGCAGGAUUAGCAGCAUCAAAGGGAAGAGAUAUGGAAAAUGCAGGUAUGUGGUUUUCACCUGAGGACGGCUGCUUGCGUUGUGGCCGAAACGUCGUAAAGAAUGAUCUUAUUAUGUUUUAUUUUUAUUAUUUUAUUACUUCCCUUCUACGUGACUUUACCUAAAUAACCAAGAAGAUGAAUCCCUGCAGUCACGAAAGCUUUAAAUCGAAACUUAAAGAUGCCGUCGCCCGCUUGCUAACCGUGCCGUGGGUUUGUUGAGCGAGCACCGCUGUAACAGGUCGAAAUGGAUCCGCGGCAGGACGAAUGGAUACGUGUUGACGCUGAAGGAUGCCAAUCAUCGGGGGUGGCCUGAUGUGUUUGGGGGGCUUAUUCCAUCCACCAAUCGUGUCCUUUAGAUGCAGAAAUUGCGUGCCGAGGGAUCGCUUUAACGAUUUUUAAAAAAAUGCGCGCUCAAAAUAUCGCAGCCCGAUCGACGCUCCAUCCACGCUCGGUCACAUAGACCAACGCGCUCAAAAUAUCUCAGCCCGAUCGACGCUCCAUCCACGCUCGGUCACAUAGACCAACGCGCUCAAAAUAUCGCAGCCCGAUCGACGCUCCAUCCACGCUCGGUCACAUAGACCAACGCGCUCAAAAUAUCUUAGCCCGAUCGACGCUCAAUCCACGCUCGGUCACAUAGACCAACGCGCUCAAAAUAUCUCAGCCCGAUCGACGCUCCAUCCACGCUCAGUCACAUAGACCAACGCGCUCAAAAUAUCUCAGCUCGAUCCACGCUCAAUCCACGCUCGGUCACAUAGACCAACCAACGCGCUCAAAAUAUCUCAGCCCGAUCGACGCUCCAUCCACGCUCGGUCACAUAGACCAACGCGCUCAAAAUAUCGCAGCCCGAUCGACGCUCCAUCCACGCUCGGUCACAUAGACCAACGCGCUCAAAAUAUCGCAGCCCGAUCGAUGCUCGAUUGUCGUAAAAAAAACACAUCGGUCGAUUCCCGUUCCCAGUAUUCCUUAAAUGGGCAAAACCGCUCCCAAUAACUCCAUUUUGUGGGCCUAAAACACGAAACAUAAUUUGUCAUUCACUCCGUUCGCGGAUUCAUUUUUUUUUAUCCCGUCGCAGCGCGAACGACACGCGUAGCCGACGGGGUGGAUCGGGCGCGGCGCGUCUGUCCGUCCGUUUGUCCAUCGCGUUUUCCCUGCAAAGGAGAGGUAACAAGUAUAACCCAUAAAAAAAGUUUUUCACUAUAAAUCCUUUAUAUGCGUGGCGGCUAGAGUCCUCUCGUCCUCUGGCUUGAGAUGGCUGCCACCUAUGGGUCAGAUGAUUGCCUGCCACCAUUAAGCAAUUUGUAAUUAAAUAUAAAAAAUUCCUAAAAAGUGUAAAAUUUUGGAAAAAAAUUUCACGAACAUUAAUUGUCACGCACAACGAGUCUGUGUGCAAAAUGUCAGCUCGAUUGGAUCACGGGAAGUGGGUUAAAAAACGACCGAAAAAUUUGCACGGUCCUAAGCAAGCAAGCAAGCACGCAAGUGAACUUAAUAUAAAGGAUUUAAAAAUGGUGAACGGAUCCCACGAACGCUCGCUCGCUCUAUCCACCUUUCGGGGAACGCGUGGUUCCUUCUCCCCACCCCCUCCUCCGUAGUUUUGGGGGGGCCGGGGUUUGUGCCCACCGAUGGUAGAGAGAGGACAUCUCUUGCCAAUGCGAAAAAAAUUUUAAACGCACGCGUGUGUGUUUGUGUUAUGCGCAAGUUGGUUGGGCUUUUCCUUUUUCUACUUUUCCUCCUCAUUCUCCUACUCUUCCUCCACCUCCUCCUCCUCCACCUCAUCCUCCUCCUUCCCCCUACCUCUUCCUCCUCCUUAUAUAAUUACGCAAUCUAACUCCAAAAAAACCCGUCCAUUAUGUGUGUGUUUAAAACGUAAUCAAUGCAUUAACAAAAUUGUAUAUGUGAAGCAUGCAAGUCAUUCUAUUAAACUGGUUAAGCAAGA